AAGGUUUUGACUCCGGUCAACUCCCACCCAAUGUUAACUUUGCCUGUUGCUUUGACGAGUCGCUUUAACGCAAGUUAAACCUCUGGUUCUCAACUGGAGCGUGCUCGUCGAAGGUUUAAACUCAACUUAAUUUUGUUGUCCUCUGAAACCUACCAAAAAUUA
rnacentral:misc_RNA from 1 species